CAAUAAGCGGAGGAAAAGAAACCAACAGGGAUUGCCUCAGUAACGGCGAGUGAAGCGGCAACAGCUCAAAUUUGAAAGCUAGCCUUCGGGUUCGCAUUGUAAUUUGUAGAGGAUGCUUUGGGUAAAACGCCAGUCUAAGUUCCUUGGAACAGGACGUCAUAGAGGGUGAGAAUCCCGUAUGUGACUGGAAAUGUUAACCUAUGUAAAGCUCCUUCGACGAGUCGAGUUGUUUGGGAAUGCAGCUCUAAAUGGGAGGUAAAUUUCUUCUAAAGCUAAAUAUUGGCGAGAGACCGAUAGCGCACAAGUAGAGUGAUCGAAAGAUGAAAAGCACUUUGGAAAGAGAGUUAAAAAGCACGUGAAAUUGUUGAAAGGGAAGCGCUUGCAAUCAGACUUGUUUAAACUGUUCGGCCGGUCUUCUGACCGGUUUACUCAGUUUGGACAGGCCAGCAUCAGUUUCGGCGGCCGGAUAAAGGCUCUGGGAAUGUGGCCUCCACUUCGGUGGAGGUGUUAUAGCCCAGUGUGUAAUACGGCCAGCCGGGACUGAGGUCCGCGCUCGGCUAGGA
rnacentral:rRNA from 1 species